AAUAGCAUCUAUGCAAAUAGAUGCAAAUUUGUAUGGAGUUGGAACGUUUGUUUACGUUUGCCGCUAAGGGCGCUGUUCCAGCUGCAUACAAAUUUUAGUUAACUUUUACGCUAUCGA
rnacentral:pre_miRNA from 9 species